GGACAUUUAGCUCAGUGGUUAGAGCAACCGGCUCAUAACCGGCAGGUCCCGGGUUCGAACCCCGGAAUGUCCA
rnacentral:tRNA from 1 species